UUGAACCGUAUGUGCUGAAAGGCACACGUGCGGUUCUUAGGGUGGAUAGUAAUAUCCCUGACCUACCCGAC
rnacentral:ncRNA from 1 species